rnacentral:rRNA from 1 species
UGGGGAAUAUUGGACAAUGGGGGCAACCCUGAUCCAGCAAUGCCGCGUGAGUGAUGAAGGCCUUCGGGUUGUAAAGCUCUUUUGGCGGGGACGAUGAUGACGGUACCCGCAGAAUAAGCCCCGGCUAACUUCGUGCCAGCAGCCGCGGUAAUACGAAGGGGGCUAGCGUUGUUCGGAAUUACUGGGCGUAAAGGGCGCGUAGGCGGCCUUGUUAGUCGAGUGUGAAAGCCCUGGGCUUAACCCGGGAAGCGCGCUUGAUACUGCAGGGCUUGAGUGUGGGAGAGGAUGAUGGAAUUCCCAGUGUAGAGGUGAAAUUCGUAGAUAUUGGGAAGAACACCGGUGGCGAAGGCGAUCAUCUGGACCACAACUGACGCUGAGGCGCGAAAGCGUGGGGAGCAAACAGG